GCGGCGGACGGGUGAGUAACACGUGGGCAACCUGCCCUGCAGACUGGGAUAACUUCGGGAAACCGGAGCUAAUACCGGAUAACACCGAAAACCGCAUGGUUUUCGGUUGAAAGGCGGCUUUUAGCUGUCACUGCAGGAUGGGCCCGCGGCGCAUUACCUAGUUGGUGAGGUAACGGCUCACCAAGGCGACAAUGCGUAGCCAACCUGAGAGGGUGACCGGCCACACUGGGACUGAAACACGGCCCAAACUCCUACGGGAGGCAGCAGUAGGGAAUCUUCCGCAAUGGACAAAAGUCUGACGGAGCAACGCCGCGUGAGCGAAGAAGGUCUUCGGAUCGUAAAGCUCUGUUGUCAGGGAAGAACAAGUGCCGUUCGAACAGGGCGGUACCUUGACGGUACCUGACGAGGAAGCCACGGCUAACUACGUGCCAGCAGCCGCGGUAAUAC
rnacentral:rRNA from 1 species